UGGUUAAAAAGCUCGUAGUUGGAUCUCGGCGGUCUGAGGGCGGUUCGCUUGAUUGAGUGCUACUGCUCUAUAGGCCGUGGUUUUGCCAGAGGUCUCGGGGUGCUCUUAACCGAGUGUCCUGCGAUGCUGGCAGGUUUACUUUGAAAAAAUUAGAGUGCUCAAAGCAGGCUUUUACGCCUGGAUAUUCGUGCAUGGAAUAAUAGAAUAGGAAGUCGUUUCUAUUUUGUUGGUUUUCGGAAAUCGACUUAAUGAUUAAUAGGGACAGUCGGGGGCAUUUGUAUUCAAACGACAGAGGUGAAAUUCUUGGACCGUUUGAAGACAAACUACUGCGAAAGCAUUUGCCAAGAAUGUUUUCAUUAAUCAAGAACGAAAGUUAGAGGUUCGAAGGCGAUUAGAUACCGCCCUAGUUCUAACCAUAAACGAUGCCAGCUAGCGAUCUGCCGACGUUUUCUUUGUAGACUCUGCAGGAAGCUUCCGGGAAACCAAAGCAUUUGGGUUCCAGGGGAAGUAUGGUUGCAAAGCUGAAACUUAAAGGAAUUGACGGAAGGGCACCACCAGGAGUGGAGCCUGUGGCUUAAUUUGACUCAACACGGGAAAUCUCACCAGGCCCGGACACUGGAAGGAUUGACAGAUUGAUA
rnacentral:rRNA from 1 species